rnacentral:tRNA from 1 species
GGAAUAUAGCUUAGUGGUACAGUGCUUGCUUAGCAGGUGCAAGGCCCUGGGUUGGAUCCCCAGUGCCA